rnacentral:rRNA from 2 species
GCUCAGGAUGAACGCUGGCGGCGUGCCUAAUACAUGCAAGUCGAGCGAAUGGAUUGAGAGCUUGCUCUCAAGAAGUUAGCGGCGGACGGGUGAGUAACACGUGGGUAACCUGCCCAUAAGACUGGGAUAACUCCGGGAAACCGGGGCUAAUACCGGAUAACAUUUUGAACUGCAUGGUUCGAAAUUGAAAGGCGGCUUCGGCUGUCACUUAUGGAUGGACCCGCGUCGCAUUAGCUAGUUGGUGAGGUAACGGCUCACCAAGGCAACGAUGCGUAGCCGACCUGAGAGGGUGAUCGGCCACACUGGGACUGAGACACGGCCCAGACUCCUACGGGAGGCAGCAGUAGGGAAUCUUCCGCAAUGGACGAAAGUCUGACGGAGCAACGCCGCGUGAGUGAUGAAGGCUUUCGGGUCGUAAAACUCUGUUGUUAGGGAAGAACAAGUGCUAGUUGAAUAAGCUGGCACCUUGACGGUACCUAACCAGAAAGCCACGGCUAACUACGUGCCAG